UACGUAGGGGACGAGCGUUGUCCGGAAUUACUGGGCGUAAAGGGUGCGUAGGUGGUUUCUUAAGUCAGAGGUGAAAGGCUACGGCUCAACCGUAGUAAGCCUUUGAAACUGAGAAGCUUGAGUGCAGGAGAGGAGAGUAGAAUUCCUAGUGUAGCGGUGAAAUGCGUAGAUAUUAGGAGGAAUACCAGUUGCGAAGGCGGCUCUCUGGACUGUAACUGACACUGAGGCACGAAAGCGUGGGGAGCAAACAGGAUUAGAUACCCUGGUAGUCCCU
rnacentral:rRNA from 1 species